GAGUAGCUCAGUUGGUAGAGCAGCGGUCUCCAAAACCGCAGGUCGUAGGUUCGAGCCCUGCCUC
rnacentral:tRNA from 1 species